UAACCCAAAACCAACCGGACCUAAACUUGGGUCAGCUCAAAUGAAUGGUCCGCACCUUCUUUCUUCAAUUGGUAUCGGUUCGAUUAAAAGAAUAUCCUAAUCCGUUGACCCGUAAACCCGAUACGGGUAUUGGAGUGGGAAUACUCUUAUCGGAUCCAACCCAUUUUCUCUCACCACCCACAUCGGGUUCUCGGACUCACUCUCUCUCGCUUCAGGGUCACCCACAAUCCAGCCCCGAUUCGCCGGACCACCGAUCGGAUUCCCUGAGAUUUUUGGAGAUACAAGGUCAAUUCAACAAUUGCGGUAAGACCCAUUUCGAAUUUUUGUCAAUUCAACAAUUGCAGUUUUUAAUCGGAUUUUUUUCAAUGUUUAUUGGUAUUUAUUGGUGGAUUUUGGUGUGACCCAGAUCUUAUAUGCAUAUGAUUGUUCUGUUGCUUAGGGAUUUGAAG
rnacentral:lncRNA from 1 species